rnacentral:rRNA from 1 species
CGUAUCCAACCUGCCCAUCACUUGGGGAUAACCUUGUGAAAGUAAGACUAAUACCCAAUGACGUCUCUAGAAGACAUCUGAAAGAGAUUUAAAGAUUUAUCGGUGAUGGAUGGGGAUGCGUCUGAUUAGCUUGUUGGCGGGGUAACGGCCCACCAAGGCGACGAUCAGUAGGGGUUCUGAGAGGAAGGUCCCCCACAUUGGAACUGAGACACGGUCCAAACUCCUACGGGAGGCAGCAGUGAGGAAUAUUGGUCAAUGGACGAGAGUCUGAACCAGCCAAGUAGCGUGCAGGAUGACGGCCCUAUGGGUUGUAAACUGCUUUUAUAAGGGAAUAAAGUGGGAGUCGUGACUCUUUUUGCAUGUACCUUAUGAAUAAGGACCGGCUAAUUCCGUG